AACAAACGCUGGCGGCGUGCCUAACACAUGCAAGUCGUACGAGAAAGGGUCCUUCGGGACCUGAGUAAAGUGGCGCACGGGUGAGUAACGCGUGGAUAAUCUGCCCUUCAGUUGGGAAUAACUCAUCGAAAGGUGGGCUAAUACCGAAUAACGCUGUGAGACCUUGGUCGAUCAGCCAAAGAGAGCCUCUGCUUGCAUGCCCUUGCUGAAGGAUGAGUCCGCGUACCAUUAGCUUGUUGGUAGGGUAAUGGCCUACCAAGGCGACGAUGGUUAGCUGGUCUGAGAGGAUGAUCAGCCACACUGGAACUGAGACACGGUCCAGACUCCUACGGGUGGCAG
rnacentral:rRNA from 1 species